CCCAGGCUCAAACUUCAGCAUUCCGAGUAGCUGGGACUACAAGUGUGCACCACCACUCCCAGCUAACUUUUUUCUUCUUUUGGAUAGAGACAGGUUCUCACUGUGUUGUCCAGACCGGUCUCUAGCUCCUGGCCUUAAGCAAUCCUCCUGCAUUAGCUUCUCAAAUUGCUGGAAUUUCAGGCAUGAGCCAUCAUGCCUGGCCUGGGCUAGUCCUGUAUUCUCUAGAGUUCUCUUUACUUUGUGCUAGCCAAUCUCUCAUUAUGCUGUUCACCUGUUAUAAUGAAUAAUUCUCCGUAUUAAAUUUUACCACUUUAAACUUUUGAGUGGUUUAUGCUUCCUGAUUGGACUCUGACUAAUAUGUUAGGAAGGGUCCCAGGAGAUAAACCCACACAGAUGGGAUUUGGGCAUAGGUUUGGUUUCCCAGGGGGCAGUGCUGAGCUCUUUGCCAGUGGGAAAUGGGAUGCUGGUGAUUUCCAGGAAGUGACCUCACAGUGACUCAAGCUACCACUUACUGUUGAUUGUGACGAAAUGCCAGCUGAGGCACAUGCCUUGGGAGCUAAGUGGUUGCUGCCCUUGACCACUAUGAAGACUGGUGUGGGAAGGGUCGCUUUGGAUGCACUUGAGCAGGGGUCCCCAACCCCUGAGCCAUGGAGCCGUAGGGAGCCACACAGCAGGAGGUGGGACCAUCCAGUUUCAGGAAAACAAGCUUAACACGCCCACUGACUCUACAUUAUGAUUCUUCAGGCCCAGCAUCUGCCUCACUGUGGACCCCCCAAGCCAAGCUCCCAACCUUUCAGCAGCUUCUGCACACCCAGCUCCCGCCUGCCAGUGGCCUCUUCAGGCCCAUGGGGCUCAUUCCUCACAACAGCCUUUCCAGUCCCAGUUUUUCCCUUCCGGCGGCCUCUCCGGGCUGAGAACCUCCUCAAGUCGGCCUCUCCAGACUCACUUGCACCCUCCAGGCGUCCUCUCCGGGCCAAGCUCCUCUUCCUGGCUGCGUCUCCAGGCCCGACUCCUGCCUCUCAACAACCUCUUUGGACUCAGUGCCUACCCAUCUCCUGGCGUCCUUGGUCGGCCCACAGCUUCCUCAAGCCAAGCUCCCCAGGCCCAGGUCAGGCCUCACGGUGCCCCCUCCACGAUGAGCUCCUGCCCUCCAAUGGCACCUGCAGGACCCAAAUGGUCUCCGGUCGGUGGACUCCUCCACGCCAAGCUUGGGCCUCCCGGUGACCUCUGCAGGCCCAAGUUGUCCUGAAGUCGGCAUCUCCCAGCCAUGCCUCCCAGCAAGUAAGCAAGCUCUUUUGGCUCAACUCCUGCCCAGCUCCCAACCGCCUUUGUAGGUCCCGAACUUUCUCCAGCCAAGUUCUUUGGGCCUCAUUCCUGCCGCCCGGUGGCCUGUACGGGCCCAGCAAUGGUUGGAGAACGG